rnacentral:rRNA from 1 species
GACGAACGCUGGCGGCGUGCUUAACACAUGCAAGUCGAACGGAAAGGCCCUGCUUUUGUGGAGUGCUCGAGUGGCGAACGGGUGAGUAACACGUGAGUAACCUGCCCUUGACUUUGGGAUAACUUCAGGAAACUGGGGCUAAUACCGGAUAGGAGCUCCUGCUGCAUGGUGGGGGUUGGAAAGUUUCGGCGGUUGGGGAUGGACUCGCGGCUUAUCAGCUUGUUGGUGGGGUAGUGGCUUACCAAGGCUUUGACGGGUAGCCGGCCUGAGAGGGUGACCGACCACAUUGGGACUGAGAUACGGCCCAGACUCCUACGGGAGGCAGCAGUGGGGAAUAUUGCACGAUGGGCGGAAGCCUGAUGCAGCACCGCCGCGUGCGGGAUGACGGCCUUCGGGUUGUAAACCGCUUUCGCCUGUGACGAAGCGUGAGUGACGGUAAUGGGUAAAGAAGCACCGGCUAACUACGUG